rnacentral:rRNA from 1 species
AUGAACGCUGGCGGCGUGCCUAAUCCAUGCCAGUCGAGCGAACAGACGAGGAGCUUGCUCCUCUGACGUUAGCGGCGGACGGGUGAGUAACACGUGGAUAACCUACCUAUAAGACUGGGAUAACUUCGGGAAACCGGAGCUAAUACCGGAUAACAUGUUGAACCGCAUGGUUCAACAGUGAAAGACGGUUUUGCUGUCACUUAUAGAUGGAUCCGCGUCGCAUUAGCUAGUUGGUAAGGUAACGGCUUACCAAGGCAACGAUGCGUAGCCGACCUGAGAGGGUGAUCGGCCACACUGGAAAUGAGACACGGUCCAGACUCCGACGGGAGGCAGCAGUAGGGAAUCUUCCGCAAGGGGCGAAAGCCUGACGGAGCAACGCCGCGGGAGUGAAGAAGGUCUUCGGAUCGUAAAACUCUGUUAUUAGGGAAGAACAAAUGUGUAAGUAACUAUGCACGUCUUGACGGUACCUAAGCAGAAAGCCACGGCUAACUACGG